rnacentral:rRNA from 1 species
GACGAACCGUCCAAACGUUGUUCGGAAUUACUGGGUUUAAAGGGCGCGUAGGCGGUGCGUUAAGUCGGUGGUGAAAUACUUUGGCUCAACCAGAGAAUUGCCGCUGAAACUGGCGCGCUCGAGUGAGGUAGAGGUGCAUGGAACUUCCGGUGGAGUGGUGAAAUACGUUGAUAUCGGAAGGAACGCCUGUGGCGAAAGCGAUGCACUGGACCUCUUCUGACGCUGAGGCGCGAAAGCCAGGGGAGCGAACGGG